rnacentral:misc_RNA from 1 species
AGAGGAAGUCCGGUGCGAAUCCGGCGCGGUCCCGCCACUGUCACCGGGGAGUGCACUCCCAACCCGUACGUCACGGCCGGCUCGCCGGUUGGAAGACCGGGAGUGCGUAGAUCCGGGAGCCAGGAGACUC